rnacentral:tRNA from 1 species
UGAGGUUUGGCUCAAGGGUAGAGUGCUCACCUAGCAUGCGUGAGGCCCUGUGUUCAAUCCUCAACACCACAU